rnacentral:rRNA from 1 species
UUGAGGAAUAUUGGUCAAUGGGCGGGAGCCUGAACCAGCCAAGUCGCGUGAAGGAAGAAGGAUCUAUGGUUCGUAAACUUCUUUUGCAGGGGAAUAAAGUGCAGGACGUGUCCUGUUUUGUAUGUACCCUGAGAAUAAGGAUCGGCUAACUCCGUGCCAGCAGCCGCGGUAAUACGGAGGAUCCGAGCGUUAUCCGGAUUUAUUGGGUUUAAAGGGUGCGUAGGUGGUUUGAUAAGUCAGCGGUGAAAGUUUGCAGCUUAACUGUAAAAAUGCCGUUGAAACUGUCGGACUUGAGUGUGAAUGAGGUAGGCGGAAUGCGUGGUGUAGCGGUGAAAUGCAUAGAUAUCACGCAGAACUCCGAUUGCGAAGGCAGCUUACUAAGCUACAACUGACACUGAAGCACGAAAGCGUGGGGAUCAAACAGGAUUAGAUACCCUUGUAGUCC